GACGAACGCUGGCGGCGUGCUUAACACAUGCAAGUCGAACGGAAAGGCCCCUUUGGGGGUACUCGAGUGGCGAACGGGUGAGUAACACGUGAGUAACCUGCCCUUGACUUCGGGAUAACUUCAGGAAACUGGGGCUAAUACCGGAUAGGAAUACUUGCUGCAUGGUGGGGGGUGGAAAGCUUCGGCGGUUUUGGAUGGACUCGCGGCUUAUCAGCUUGUUGGUGGGGUAGUGGCUUACCAAGGCUUUGACGGGUAGCCGGCCUGAGAGGGCGACCGGCCACAUUGGGACUGAGAUACGGCCCAGACUCCGACGGGAGGCAGCAGUGGGGAAUAUUGCACAAUGGGCGGAAGCCUGAUGCAGCAACGCCGCGUGCGGGAUGACGGCCUUCGGGUUGGAAACCGCUUUCAGCAGGGGCGAAGCUUGUGGUGACGGUACCUGCAGAAGAAGCACCGGCUAACUACGUG
rnacentral:rRNA from 1 species